rnacentral:misc_RNA from 1 species
UACAGAGGCCCCGAGCGUUACCCGGAUUCAUUGGGCGUAAAGCGUCCGCAGGCGGCUUGUUGCGUCGAUUGUGAAAUCCUUGGGCUCAACCCAAGAACGCCAAUCGAUACGAGCAAGCUAGAGGCAGGGAGAGGUCAGUGGAACUCAUGGUGAAGCAGUGAAAUGCGUUGAUAUCAUGGGGAACACCAAUUGCGAAGGCAGCUGACUGGUCCUGUCCUGACGCUCAGGGACGACAGCGUGGGUAGCGAAUGGG